GGUUGCAAUCGCCUUCUCACUAGUUCUGACAAUAUGAAAGUCAUUGAUACCAUAAAGAAUGGAGGACGUUCAGCAGGAGCAGCGACAUCAGUUUUUGAUGACUGUUAUUUUUUAGCCUGUGAUUUUCAUCUCACUAGUUUUGAGUAUUAUUGUAACAAGGAAGCAAACAAGGUAGCUCAUGAACUUGCCAGGUUACCUAGAUUUUCUGAGGCAAGGGGACGGUUUGAAGAGCAUUUGGUCGAAAUUUUACAAUCUCUAAUAGAUGAUGUAACCAUUAUUUCUAACUAA
rnacentral:rRNA from 1 species